rnacentral:lncRNA from 1 species
UUAGCCCCUAGCCCUCCGUUAAAGUCAUGGCCGCUGAAACAUACUCAUAUAUCGUUAAAACGAUGGAGAACGC